rnacentral:rRNA from 1 species
GACGAACGCUGGCGGCGUGCUUAACACAUGCAAGUCGAACGGAAAGGCCUGCUUUCCCUUGUGGAUUGCGGGUACUCGAGUGGCGAACGGGUGAGUAACACGUGAGUGAUCUGCCCCCAACUUGGGUAUAAGCCUGGGAAACUGGGUCUAAUUCCCGAUAGGACUGCAGGGUGGUGCCUGUGGUGGAAAACGAUUUUCUAGUGGUUGGGGAUGAGCUCGCGGCCUAUCAGCUUGUUGGUGGGGUAAUGGCCUACCAAGGCGGCGACGGGUAGCCGGCCUGAGAGGGUGGACGGCCACAUUGGGACUGAGAUACGGCCCAGACUCCGACGGGAGGCAGCAGUGGGGAAUAUUGCACCAUGGGCGGAAGCCUGAUGCAGCGACGCCGCGUGGGGGAUGACGGCCUUCGGGUGGUAAACUCCUUUCGACCGCGAGGAAGCCACCUGGUUGGAAGGGUGGUGACGGUAGUGGUAGAAGAAGCACCGGCUAACUACGUG